rnacentral:rRNA from 1 species
GUGCAGCAGGCGCGAAACCUCCGCAAUGCGGGAAACCGCGACGGGGGACCCCGAGUGCCGUGGCAACGCCACGGCUUUUCCGGAGUGUAAAAAGCUCCGGGAAUAAGGGCUGGGCAAGGCCGGUGGCAGCCGCCGCGGUAAUACCGGCGGCCCGAGUGGUGGCCGCUAUUAUUGGGCCUAAAGCGUCCGUAGCCGGGCCCGUAAGUCCCUGGCGAAAUCCCACGGCUCAACCGUGGGGCUUGCUGGGGAUACUGCGGGUCUUGGGACCGGGAGAGGCGGGGGGUACCCCUGGGGUAGGGGUGAAAUCCUAUAAUCCCAGGGGGACCGCCAGUGGCGAAGGCGCCCCGCUGGAACGGGUCCGACGGUGAGGGACGAAGGCCA